AUGGUCCAUCUUUUGCAAUGCAGUGGCAGUACCCAUAUGUCGUUGCCUCUGUUCUUCCUCUCAGUCCUCCUCCUCCUCCCCUCCAUGGAGUCAGCACAUUCAGAUGCUGGGAGGUUGCCACUGAGGUUACUAGAGAUUGGCAGCAGUAAGGAGGAGAAGGGGGGACACAGAGGGGAGAUGAUGAAGAUGGAACGGAGGGGCCUGAUCGGAUCAAGGCCACCAAGGUGUGAGAGUGUGUGCAUGUCUUGUGGCCACUGCAAGGCAGUGCAGGUGCCCAUAGUGCCACAGGAUCACAAGCAGAGAGCUGGCCGAGAACACCAUGAUGCGGCGAGUGACAUCGAUGCAGCGAUGCUCGCUGCCUACAAGGGCAAUGGUGGCAUCUCGGACUACAAACCUCUGAGAUGGAAGUGUAGGUGUGGAAGCAUAAUACUUGAUCCAUGA
rnacentral:rRNA from 1 species